CUGGCCUCCCUCGAACAUACAUUACAGAGCUCACAGCUAGGUCGGGCCUCCCCGUACAUACAUUAGAGCUCACAGCUAGGCUGGCCUCCCUCGAACGUACAUUACAGAGCUCACAGCUAGGCUGGCCUCCCUCAAGCAUACAUUACAGAGCUCACAGCUUGGUCGGACUUGCCUCCUGCAUAGAUAUGUGUUUUAUUACCAGAUUCUGUCUAUAGGAAGUUGUGUAUAGACACCAUACUUGAUUGAUUGAAGACUGCCACAGUGAACAGGCCCUGUACCUGGCUUUGGAAAGAAAGAUAUUUUAUUUAUUUUUCUUAGUUUGAUUUUACCCUGAGCAUUUUGUUGUUUGUAAUUUUGUGAAAGGGGUGAUGGUUUUCAGGUGUACUCAUUGUAAAACCGGUUGACUGAUCAGUUAAAACUAUGAGAAAGCGGUCUGCCAACUUCCUUUACUCUCAGUCAAUCUUCACGGAAUGGGGAAUAGUUUGGUAAUUAGCAAUACUUCCAUUGUCUAUAAUCCACUAGAUAAAUUGCAUUAUAAUUGAUAUGCAGGAUAUAGCCAAAGCAGACUGUUGACUGGUAAAGCGCUGACUAGCUUAACCAUCCUUUACUAAUUCAAGCCAUGAACUAGCCAGACACACAAUGCUGAUCACACUAAGGUUUCAAAUAUUAUAACAACUGGAAAUAUUUCCCAAGUUAUCGGUGCUUUCAGUUUAAUUAUUGUGACCUGAAAUUUGAGAUUUACUUUGAAUUCCGAACAGUUGACAUUUUAGUGAAUAAUAUUGCACUAAACCUGUGGGGGGCGCACACAGGGCUCGUGUCUCGGGAAUGGACGUAUUUAAUAACCCAAAUCCCAGCCGACGCACACUUUGUCUAUAUAUCUGCGUGGCUGCUGAACGAUUGGUGUGUUUGCAUUUCUUGAUUUUACUAAAUUAAAUUAUAUAAGCAAACCAAAUCAAAGUGAUUUUAAUAGCAGUGAGACAGACUAAUCAUUUAGCAACACACAGGCAGCAGGAAUCUCACCUCAUGGGGUUUUAUUUUUAAGGAUUUGAUCUUUUGAUAGCAAGAACAAUCCCCUGGCUUUAAGCAUUAUUGUGUUAUUUAAGGUUGCAGCUUUCAUUAAACUCUGUUUGUUUUACCAGCAGCAGAGCACCAGCCAUGUAUUGAGCAGAUAGCGUGGAGAGGGACAAAUUCACCAUCCAAAAGCACAGCUUUUAUAAGCUGAGAAGAUUGACCCAAUCUUAAUUUAUUGCCAUGGAAACCUGGCUUAAUCUGUAAUAAUUCCUCUACAGUGGUUUAUAAACUAUGGCCUGCUUUAUUUUAUGACAUUUAAGUCCUCUAAAACCAGCAGAAUUAAAAACAAAUAAUACAAUUUGCAGCCCAGUUACUCAAGUAGUAUGUGUCCAAACUCUGGGGAAACGGUACCCAAGGGAAGACACACACACACAUUUUGAAGGGACGGUACCCAAGGCAAGACACACACACAUGCACUCUGGAAGGAAUGUACCCACGGCAAGACACACACCCUCUGGAGGGCUGGUACCUGAGACGAACACACUGUGGACAGACCGUACCCAGUACCCAAGGCAAGAUACACAGAAUUCUAUAAACACAAUAAGAAUGAUUAGGGAAGGGCAUUUAAUGAGUCUGUUUUCUACAAUCAUCCUACUUUUACAGAAAUCAGAUUAACCGAUCUCCCGUCGUCUCCUGGACCCUGAAGGGCAAUGAAUUUACCUCCAUCACAGCGCAUGAAAUCUCACAUAUUGGAGAGCUUUUCAUAAACUACCCUACAGUUACAGUCAAGAAAAACGCUCUGGGUCUGGCAGUGCCAUUAUGACCAAUUGUAAGGUGGGAAAAACUUGAAGAUCAGAUUGACCUUUGUUUUACAAUCGUUCGAGUCAUCUUUUCUCAGUCCCCUCACAUGGUAACGGACAGCAAAUCUUAAAGGGACAUGACAGGCCUCCAGACCGUUUCAGCUCAUUGAAGUGGUCUUGGUGCAGUGUCCCUGUCUCCCUUAGUCCUGCAAUGUAAAACAUUGCAUUUUUAGAGAAACGGCAGCGUUUUACAUAGCAGUACUAAGACUGCCUCUAGUGGCGGUCUACCAGGCAGCCACUAGAGGCGCUUCUUGGAGUUUCAAAGAGUUUGACUCUGUGAAAUGCCACUAGAAAACCUCACUCUCUGCAUUAGGACAUCCAGCAUCAAGAUAAAACUUGUAGGAAAGCAUUGAGUGGCGAUGGACAUUGGUGCUGGAAUCGGGUAAGUGAAUAAUAGCUUAUUUAAUCUUUCUUAAUUUGGGUACUAAAGAGUAUCUUCAUUUGCACACCCACUCCCCCCCGAAAAGUCUUCUGAUUUUGAGUUUUGCAUUUCAGUAACAUUCAUCCACCUCUUUACAUGGUUUUUGGGUCAAGACACAAUGCAGCGUUUCAACAAGCUAUUAUGGAAUACUAAAUGUUUUAUUUAUAAAUCUCUUUAUUUUUUAUACCAGUUUAUUCACUCCUAUAUAAAAAUACAAUGCUCAAAAAUCCUGUUAAGGUAUAGAAACAAGACUUAUAUCAUUUUUUUAUUUUUAAAGAAGAUAUAUUGCCAGAGCAUUCAUAUUUUUGAGAUUCUCUAUAUAUAAAUGUAUCACACUGUGAAGUCUAGUUGGUCUAAACUUGUUUAUUUUUUUCCAGGUCCCAGUUGGGUAAUCUCUACCCUUGACCUUUGAGUUUGGGUUAGGGUGAGAUUUAAUAAAAAUCAAUUGUGAAAAACCUGUUUCUGGGUCUGGAAAUGUUUGGGAGAAAGUACGAUGAGAGUGGUGGACACAAUCCAUCCGUAUAAUUUAUUAUUUAAAUGUUUCGAACAGAGCUGUGGGCAAGGUUAAUCUAUGAGAGACAGCUAGCAGUUUGGGAUUGCACAGUUCCGCCAUUCUCUUUGUAACUGUGCAGCAAUAUAGGUGUACAUUGCACUCCUGAUGCACCCCAAUAUCAUGUGUAUCUUGUACCUGUCCUCAUAAUGUAUUGUCUGUCUUAAUAUUUAUGUACUGGUUAUGUAAUGUAGCACACUGCCCCCUGCUGGAAACCUCACAAUCUGCCUUAUAGUGUCAUGUGUGCAAAAUCUGGGUAAGAAAUGUAAAUGAAUGAAUUAUACAUGUAUUCAUAUAGAUAUGUUGGUAAUUAUGAAUUAUAUAUGCAUAACAGAGAGCUGGAUCCACUGUAUAUUAAAGCAAUAUUUAAAGUGUAUAAAGCUAAUGAAUUUCUAUAUUGAGUGUUUUUAUAGAGGGGGAUGAUAGGCUUGCUAUUGUUCAGAUUCAUCACGACAUGGGGUCAGCGGAUAUAUAUUGCAUCUGUACUACAACGGAGGGGGUUUAUUAAACAUGAUUGUCGUUCUAA